UAAUAGCACCAAGUCAUUGGUGCUACCAAGUUUUUGGUCAUUGGAUUAAGAGAUGUGCGGUUAGAAUGAUGUGGGCCCCCUAUGGUUGAGUGAGUGGUUGGUUGAAUAGUAUGAUCUAACGGGUGAAAAUAAUCAAAAGGGUAGAUCUAACGGCGGAAAACUUAGAAGCAUCAAGUGCUUCGUGCUAUUAAUAGCAUAGUAAGCGGACUCUAUAGAUAUAUCUUUGGAAUGCGGAGACCUCUUCUCUUUUUUUACGUGCACGCGCACAAGAAUACAAAAACAAACACAAAAGAGGCACUUGAGUGUUGAUUGAUCUAAUCUAACAACUAUACUAAUUCUUGCACGCAUGGCGAGUUCACACAUAUAAAAACACGAAAAAUACUUCAUGCAUGUACACUCAGGCAGUGGACUCUUUUAAAAUAAUUUUUUUAAAAAAAUUAUAAUUUAUCAAAUAAUUCUAAUCAAAAUUAUAUUUAGCGAAAUAAUUCUUUUUUGUCCAACUCAGUGUCAGGAUGGAAGAAUGGUUAGAAAAUGAUGAAUCAUUUACCGUUUUUAAAUUUUAUUAGAAGACGAUGUAUCGCUUUCCACUUUUUUUUUAGAAAAAAAAUGGUAAACGAUUCACACACACACACACACACACAAAUCACAUACGAUAAUAACCCAAAAAUAAAAAAUAAUUCAUCACUUUCUAAACACUGGGAACGAGUCACUUCCUGUUUCAUUUUUGUCCAACAUGCCACUG
rnacentral:lncRNA from 1 species